UACGAAGGGGGCUAGCGUUGCUCGGAAUCACUGGGCGUAAAGCGCACGUAGGCGGAUCUUUAAGUCAGGGGUGAAAUCCCAAGGCUCAACCUUGGAACUGCCUUUGAUACUGGGGAUCUCGAGUCCGGAAGAGGUUGGUGGAACUCCGAGUGUAGAGGUGAAAUUCGUAGAUAUUCGGAAGAACACCAGUGGCGAAGGCGGCCAAACUGGUCCGGCACUGACGCUGAGGUGCGAAAGCGUGGGGAGCAAACAGG
rnacentral:rRNA from 1 species